AUUGAACGCUGGCGGCAUGCCUUACACAUGCAAGUCGAACGGUAACAGGUUAAGCUGACGAGUGGCGAACGGGUGAGUAAUAUAUCGGAACGUGCCCAGUUGUGGGGGAUAACUGCUCGAAAGAGCAGCUAAUACCGCAUACGACCUGAGGGUGAAAGCGGGGGGUCGCAAGACCUCGCGCAAUUGGAGCGGCCGAUAUCAGAUUAGCUAGUUGGCGGGGUAAAAGCCCACCAAGGCGACGAUCUGUAGCUGGUCUGAGAGGACAACCAGCCACACUGGGACUGAGACACGGCCCAGACUCCUACGGGAGGCAGCAGUGGGGAAUUUUGGACAAUGGACGCAAGUCUGAUCCAGCCAUGCCGCGUGCGGGAAGAAGGCCUUCGGGUUGUAAACCGCUUUUGUCAGGGAAGAAACGGCUUUUUCUAAUACAGAGAGCUAAUGACGGUACCUGAAGAAUAAGCACCGGCUAACUACGUGCCAGCCGCCGCGGUAA
rnacentral:rRNA from 1 species